UACGUAGGGGGCGAGCGUUAAUCGGAAUUACUGGGCGUAAAGUGUGCGCAGGUGGCCGCGCAAGUCGAGUGUGAAAUCCCCGAGCUUAACUUGGGAAUUGCGCUCGAAACUACGUGGCUCGAGUGUGGCAGAGGAAGGUGGAAUUCCACGUGUAGCGGUGAAAUGCGUAGAGAUGUGGAGGAACACCGAUGGCGAAGGCAGCCUCCUGGGCCAACACUGACGUUCAUGCACGAAAGCGUGGGGAGCAAACAGG
rnacentral:rRNA from 1 species